UUCCGCAAUGGGCCAAAACCUGACGGAGCGACCCCGCGUGUAGAAUGAAGUCCUUCGGGAUGUAAACCACUGUUGGAGGGGAAGAAGGUAACGGUACCCUCCGCAAAAACCCCGGCUAACUACGUGCCAGCAGCCGCGGUAAUACGUAGGGGGCUAGCGUUAUCCAGAAUUACUGGGCGUAAAUCGCGUUUAGGCGGCUGGUUAAGUAUGAUGUGAAAUCGUCGGGCUCAACCCGAAAACUGCAUUGCAAACUGGCCUGGCUAGAGUGCAGGACAGGGAAGCGGAAUUCCCGGUGUAGCGGUGACAUGCGUAGAUAUCUCGAGGCCCACCAGUGGCGAAGGCGGCUUCCUGGCCUGUCCCUCACGCUGAGACGCGAAAGCGUGGGGAGCGAACCGGAUGAGAKACCCGGGUCGUCCACGCCCUAAACGUGGCGAACUAGGUGUUGGUCGGAUUGACCCGAUCAGUGCCGCAGCCAACGCAUUAAUUUCGCCGCCUGGGGGACUACGGCCGCAAGGGUAAAAGGGAAAGGGAUAGGCGGGGGCCCGUACAAGCAGCGGAGCGUGUGGGGUAAUUCGAGGCAACGCGAAGAACCUUACCUGGGCUUGACAUGUAGAAGAAACGCUGGUGAAAGUCAGCGCCCCUCGCAAGAGGUUUCUAUACAGGUGGUGCAUGGCUGUCGUCAGUUCGUGCCGUGAGGUGUUGGGUUAAUGUCCCGCAACGAGCGCAACCCUUGUCUUUAGUUGUUUAAUUUAGGGAGACUGCCGGGCGAAACCCGGAUGAAGGUGGGGAUUACGUCAAGUCUGCAUGCCCUUUAUGUCCAGGGCUAUAUACACGCUACAAUUGCCGGCACAACGGGUUCCGACACGGCGACGUGAAGGCAAUCCUUUAAAACCGGUCUCAGUUCGGAUUGUUGGCAGCAACUCGCCAGCAUGAAGUCGGAGUUGCU
rnacentral:rRNA from 1 species